rnacentral:lncRNA from 1 species
AGGUCCAGCUGGGAGUUUGAUAGGAAUUGUGUUGAAUCUGAACAUCAGUUUGGUGAGUUGACAUCUUAGGAAUAUUAAGUCUCUUCCUGUAUACCUCUCCUUAUCCCUUGUCUCUGCAGAGUUGCUAUUGUUUGAAAGAGGGCAGGGAGCUGUGUUUUCUGGGUUCCCGAAAUCAUAGAAGAGCUUUUCUUUUUCUCUAGAAGUUCUUGGGGAUUGAGGCUCAGCAGCUGGCACCACCAUCUUCUGCAUGAUUGCUGGCAUUCCUGGGCCCUGAUCUGAAUGGAAUUUCCUAGGUUUUCUUUCCAUCCCAGGCCUGAUCAGCAAAUGCUCCCAGCCAAGGCCUCAGGAAACUUUUCUCCAUUAAUAAACCAGUUAUAUGCUGGUUUUACAUGUGGGGCCACAAAUAUUUUUAUUGCACAAAUGAGCUAGUCAGGCAAACAAUAACCCCAGUGGCUGUUGAAGGGCACCAAAAAAGUUUUCUACCCAAAGGUCUCACCCUUCCUCCCCCACCAUCCUUAGAGGUUCUUGGGAAGAUGCCUUUGAACGUGCCUUUCAUUCUUUCUCUUUUCUUUUCUUUCCUUUCCUUUCCCUUCCUUCCUUCCUUCCUUCUCUCUCUCUCUCUCUCUUUUUCUUCCUUCCUUCCUUCCUUCCUUCCUUCCUUCCUCCCUCCCUCCCUCCCUCCCUCCUUCCAUCCUUCCUCCCUUUUACUGCACCUGCAGCAUAUGGAAGUUCCCAGGCUAGGGGUCUAAUUGGAGCUGCAUCUGCCAGCCUACACCACAGUCGUCGCAAUGCCAGAUCCAAGCCAUGCCUGCGACCUAUGCUGCACUUUGCGGCAGCACCAGAUCCUUAACCCACUGAUUGAGGCCAGGGAUUGAACCUGCAUCCUCCUGGAUACUAGUCAGGUUCUUAACCCACUGAGUCACAAUAGGAACUCCUCAACUUAAUUUUUUUCUCCUUCCUCUUGCAGUUGGUAGAGAACUGUCCCUAGAAGAGUGUGGUGUCUCAGGUGGGCUGUGAGAGAAGCAGGGGAUGCAGAGCAGAGGGGUGGGAGGGCACCCAGGAGAACCCUCCCUGACAUCAUGAUUUCCCAGGAGACCAGGUCUGAACAAUUCACAGCCAAUGAGAGCAUUAGGGCCAGCGGGAAGUCCUCAGAGGACAGAGGGUCAAACAACACAGAGGAAGAAACCAGGUCAGGACAUCAAAGGGACACGUUUGCAGUCUGGAAGGAAGUGUUGUGUGUAAGACUUGAGCCCAGGGCUCCAUCUCAGUCCCUCUCUAUGCUGUGCCUGCCUUCCUGCCACGGACAGGCCGUUCCUUCCUGCCUGGGACAAAGCUGGAUGCUGGGAACAUGCCCUGGGGAGCUGACAGCUUAAUGCGGAAGAGAGGGGUUAUGUGUCAUUUACUUACAGUUGCUAGUUAUGUUAGGAAGAUGCGUGGGGUGCUGAACUAGGCUCUUCAACCCAGCCUGUGGUCCAGGAAGGCUCUAGAGGGAGACCAGUGAUCCGAGGGCCCUGGGAUGGGGCUGGGGACAAGGGAAGCGUGGGACAGGUGAAGGGCAGGGGAGGUCUGUCAGAAAGGGGUUGGGAAGUGCUGGGGGGAGAGCGGGAAGGGCAAGGCUCGCAGGGGGCCAGGGCCUGGUGUGCUGUGAGGUGGAGAGGGCAGCAGCACCCCCUGGGUGCUGGGGCUUCUUUCAGGCACCAGAUGGGAGCCACAAAGGGUCUCAGGGAGCAGAUGGGAGCUUCAGAGUCCCCUCUGUGGUGCAACGGGAUCAGUGGCAUCUUGGGAGCACUGGGGCUCAGGUUCAGUUCCCGGCCUGGUACAGCAGGUUGGGGAUCUGGCAUGGCUGCAGCCGCAACUUAGGUUGGGACUGUGGCUCGGACCUGAUCCCUGGCCCGGGAACUC